rnacentral:lncRNA from 1 species
AGAAAACAUUGGAAAUCAGUUAGAAGCUCUCUGGUGACACUGCCCCCUGCUGGUUACCAGGAAGAUGGAUCAUCUGAACCCAGAAUGGGACUGAGGCUUGUGACUGCUGUGAGUAAGCAACUGGACUCUGUAAGAAUGUCAAGACUAAAUGUUAAGAAUCUAGGCCCCUUGGCUUCUGCGAGGACAUCAAUAAGGUUCUACAAAUCAUGCAAAGCAAAGGAAACUGACUCCAAUAUGCAUCCAACACGUGACCAUUUCAAGACUUCAUAAAAAUUUAAAUAGAUGUGCAGAAGGGCAAGAUCUACUCCACCUUUGAAACCUAUGAACUGCUGUGAUUUGAUUUUUUUUUCAACAAACAAGGGAAACAUUUAUGAAACAGAAAAAAUUACUUUGGAAAACAUUCUCAUGAGAGGAUGUGUCUCAUUAAUUAGGGAGACGGAAAGGGUGGAGAGAAAUAAGGUGGGCCGGGCUUGGAAUAGCAUGGACUUGGCUUCCCAUAUUUGCAGGUUCUGUAUUUACAGAUCCAACUAAUCCUGGAUCCAAAUGAAAAAAAAAAUAACAUCUGUGUUGACCACGUGCAGAUUUCUUUUCUUGUCAUUAUUCCCUAAUACAGUAUAACAACUAUUUACAUAACAUUUACAUUUUAUUAGUAUUAUAAGUAACCUGGAGAUGAUUUAUACUAUACAUGGGGACAUAUGUGGGCUAUAUACUGUGCCAUUUUAUAUAGGGACUUGAGC